rnacentral:rRNA from 1 species
CCUACGGGUGGCAGCAGUGAGGAAUAUUGGUCAAUGGCCGAGAGUCUGAACCAGCCAAGUAGCGUGAAGGAAGACGGCCCUACGGGUUGUAAACCUCUUUUGUCGGGGAACAAAGCGAACCACGUGUGGUUCAUUGAGGGUACCCCAAGAAAAAGCAUCGGCUAACUCCGUGCCAGCAGCCGCGGUAAUACGGAGGAUGCGGGCGUUAUCCGGAUUUAUUGGGUUUAAAGGGUGCGUAGGUUGUUUUUUAAGUCAGCGGUGAAAGGUUGUGGCUCAACCAUAAAAUUGCCGUUGAAACUGGAAGACUUGAGUGUGUCUGAGGUAGGCGGAAUGCGUGGUGUAGCGGUGAAAUGCAUAGAUAUCACGCAGAACUCCGAUUGCGAAGGCAGCUUACUAAGCCAUAACUGACACUGAAGCACGAAAGCGUGGGGAUCAAACAGGAUUAGAUACCCCGGUAGUC